GUGCUAAGUGCUGGGGAUACAAAAAGAGGCAAAAGAUCGUCUCUGCCCUCUAGGAGCUCACAGUCUAAUGGGGGAGACAACAUGCAA
rnacentral:miRNA from 1 species